CCAACGGCCCUCUUUAGGGCCACAUUUCUUGAGUCGAUUACUACAU
rfam:Oesophagostomum dentatum strain OD-Hann O_dentatum-1.0_Cont2895.2, whole genome shotgun sequence.